CAGAGAGGUAACAGGGAGCCAGGCCGUGCAGGGCCUCGUAGGCCACUAGAAAUUCUUUGGCUUUUGCUGUACGUGAGAUCUGAAGUCCCCGAAGGCUUGGCUUCUUAGAGGAGUGACAAGUUCUGAAUUGCGUGUUGCUAGGAGCCCUGUGGCUGCUUGGUGGUGAGGAGGCUGGAGUUGGCCUCGGGGUGAAGCAGAGAGACCAGCUAAGAGGGCGCUGCCCAGAAAUCCUGGUGACAGAUGGUGGGCCCUGUGGGUGAAGCCUGUGUGCCCUUGUUGUCCUGCAGAGGGAACAAGCAGGACGAGGAGGAGAACCAGGUCCACUGGGCGACGGACAGUGAUUGUGGCCUCAAGAUCCAAUCACUCAGAGAGAGGUGCGAGGGAACUCAGCUCCCGGCUUUCUCAGUUGUCCUCUCUUCCUGAAUCCAUCUGUGGUGUCAACCAGUCAUGGAUGCAGGAGACUCUGAAGUUAAGCCCAGCAGCACCACACUGAACAUCCUGAGGAAGAGACCUGAAUACUUAAAGCCCCAAAACCUUGCCUCCAAAAACAUGGUUCUGCAUAAGACAGAUGGGCUCAGAAUCGUCACUGAGGUCUGGGUAAGUGUGGACUCAGCAGCUGAGGCAGCCUGAAGUCACUGUCCACCUGGAGAGCUGGGUCAGAAGAUGGAGGCAGAGACAAAUAUCCCGUGUCUCUGUUUAGCCUUAUUUCAGGUCAGUGGGUAUGAUUUUACCUGAGGCAUUUGCUUUGAGUCUUUACCAAACACUGUGGAAUCGCAUUACCACUGAUCUAGGCAUUCUCAGACAUCACCGGAAGUUCCUGUCCGCGGAGGCGGGCCCAGGGCAGGGGCAGGCGCGGCCAUGGGCGGUACCUGGAGCCUGCGCGGGCUCCGCCCACAAGCCGGUGGCUGCUAGUGCGCAGGCGCCAGAUGGAGUGCACGCAUGGGACAGGGAGGACGCAGAGGCGGGCCUAAUGCCCGCUCGAGGAGGCGGGGUCACAGACUGAGGGGCGGGGCCGGAACCAGAGGGGCGGGGCCGAGGUCCCAAGGCUAGUCUUGGGCGAAAGUCAGGGACCAAGGGAGGAGCCCAGGACGCCUGACUCUAUAUGUUGAGGGUGGAGCCCGUUUCCGGUGGAGAGGGGAGAGUUCCAGUGCUCUGGAGCUGAAGAGUGUGCCUGGUGCGUGCCCUUCCUAGUUCCUCAGAGGACCCUUGGCCUCUGGAUGCCCCUUGUGUGAGGUUGUGAGAACACAUUUUCCUGCUUAUUCAUGCAUCUCUCAGCCAGACAUUGUUGGCACCCAGGCCACACAUAUCUGCCACAUUAAUAGGAAAGCCCAAAAUAUUAGCCAACAUAAUCCAGAGCUGCAUCUUCAAAGAAUGAUGACUAUGGCCAGGAAAUGUAAAGAAGGUUCAAUGUUAAGAACUCUCUUAAUUUGCUAUUUUAAGAGACCAAAAGAGGAUAAUCAUACAGUCAUCUCCAUAGAUGUUAAAAAGAUAAAAAGAGGGGUUAUAUGAUUUUACAACAGGAAUUUGCUUUUAGUCUACUAUCAACACCAAAAUCAAAUUACCGCUCUGAUCAUUACAUCACUUUCUCUAACAUCAUAAUCACUUAUAUGCACAUAAUGCACCACUUGAUUAGGGCGAUGACACUCCAAUUUCUUUAAUAAUUCAUGUGUUUUAUGAGGUAAUGCUGCAGGUCAGCCCCUCUAGUUGCCCACGACAGCUCGGCCCAAAGACGCUGUGGCUCCUGUUGUUCCCAUUUAAAAUACGUAAUUGAAUAAUGACUUUAGAGUUGGAAUUUUAAGUAGAGCUCUUACUAGGUUUAUCUAUUGUUUAUAUAUUGGAACACUUACGGGAAACUUAGUUUCUCUGAUUUCAUAGGUUUACUCUGUUAAAUAGAAUUAUUUAUUAUUUGUGAAGGGUUUAUUUAUUAAGACUUUGUGUUUUCUUCCUCCCAAAUCUCCUUUCCCUCUCUUCCUUAUUUUGGUAAAUGGCAAUUCUUUCCUUCCUAUUCUUCAAGCCAAACACCUUUGUGUCCUCCUUGACUCCUCUGUUUCCUUCAUGCCCCACAUUAACUCCAUCAGCAAAUCCUCAGCUCUAUGUUCAACAAGAACCUGAAUGUGACCAGGUCAUUGCACCUCCACUGUUACUGCACUUGUCAAACCCUCCAUUACCACUCUCCUGGAUUAUUCUAAUAGGCUCCUAACUAGGCUUUCUACUUCUUCCUUACUCUACGCAGUCACUUCUUGUACACAUCUUUUGUUGAACAUCUGUACACAUUUCUGUCAGCUAAAGAACUUGCUGGGUCACAAGUCAAGGUGAUGUCCAAAGACUACAAAAGCAUGAGUUGAAACCCUCCAAAAAUGUACCCUCCUUCUGUCCCCUAGCGCAAGCUCCCUGCCUAAGGAGAGGGAGUGAGAGCACUCUGUUCCUUCUUCUCCAUCACUUGGGAGAAGGGGCUGUGAAGAAAGGGACAUGGUGCCCUCUUUUUCCUGUGGGUCUCAGGAUCCCUCUAGCUGGGAAGAAAAAAGAUUUUUAAAAAGUUUGUGUUCUGUCGUACAAAGAAACAGAAGGAAACUUGAACUUUAAAUUAUCCCAUCUGUCACUUUCCAUUGAUUGAGUCUUGCUCAUUAAGAUAAAUUCCAAGCUAGAAUAUAAUUUUUUAUGUUUUGCCUUUUGAGCUCUCCAGAAUGUAUGCCUUUCAGCUACCUCGGUUUCUUUCUUUUUUUUUCAUUCUUUCUUUCUUUUGCUCUCCCCCCCCCCCCAUAUUGCCAGCUGCCAAGGAGGAAUGGGGCACUCUAUCUCAUGGUGUUUCCCUUCUUAUUUGAGUUCUUCUGCAGUUCAACACCUGACAUCCACCUGCAGAGAUGCCCAAGCAAAGUCAGACACCCCCUUUUCUCUCUCUUGCGUGCCGUGUUGGUACAAGAAGGGUGUGCGGCUUCUCUGGGACAGAAGAGAACCCAAAUUGAGCUCUACUGUUAACUAGCUGUGGGAUCCUGGAGGAGUCGUUUACCCUGAUUCUUAGCUUCCACGUCUGUUGAAGGGGAGAUGCUCAUGAAGAGGACAGGAUGGCUAGGUUUUGGUAUCAAGCUUAUGCUGGCCUCAUCAAUGAGGUGAGGAGUGCUCCCUCCUACUCUACUUCCUGAAAGAGAUUAUGUCUAUUGGAAUCAACCAAUCCUUCACUGUUUGGCAGAACUUACUUAUAAAACCAUCUGAGCUUGUUUACUUUAUCAGAAAUUUUUUAACUAACUGACUCAAUGAUUAGAAGACUAUUAAAGCUUUCUGUUUAUUUCUUGACCUAUUUGAUAAAUUAGAUUUUUCUAGGGAAGUGUUUAUUUUAUCUGAAUAAAUAUAUUCAUCCAGCAAAAAUGAAUUGAAUAGC
ensembl:lncRNA